rnacentral:rRNA from 1 species
CUACGGGGUGCUCCAGUGGGGAAUAUUGGGCAAUGGGCGAAAGCCUGACCCAGCAACGCCGCGUGAAGGAAGAAGGCUUUCGGGUCGUAAACUUCUAUCCUAGGUGAAGAUAAUGACGGUAGCCUAGAAGGAAGCCCCGGCUAACUACGUGCCAGCAGCCGCGGUAAUACGUAGGGGGCAAGCGUUGUCCGGAAUGAUUGGGCGUAAAGGGCGCGUAGGCGGCCAUGUAAGUCCGAUGUGAAAGUCCUGCUUUUAAGGUGGGAAUUGCAUUGGAAACUGCGUGGCUUGAGUGCAGGAGAGGUAAGCGGAAUUCCCGGUGUAGCGGUGAAAUGCGUAGAGAUCGGGAGGAACACCAGUGGCGAAGGCGGCUUACUGGACUGUAACUGACGCUGAGGCGCGAAAGUGUGGGGAGCAAACAGGAUUAGAUACCCUGGUAGUC